AGCACUCAAAGGGCACUCGAUCCAUCGACGCCGUCGAUCCUACCGUUCGACCUACAAGUCAGAUGAACUGCCUGCCUCCCACCGUGUUUUCUUUCGAGAAAGUAGUCCCGGGCAUGAAGAUUUAUUUACUUGAACGAUACCUCCUGCCGGCUUUACGAUCAACUUGCAUGACACGUCUCUCGCGCUGCAGCGCUGCUCCGAUCGCUCGAGUGCUACCAUCUGACAUUUAUAACAGCGCGUCGCGUCGUCUUUGUAUAAAGUUCUGUUCUAUGCGACUAAAAGGAUAGCUGACUAAGUCACGGAAUUGAUCCUAACUUUUAAAACAGACACAAGUUCUAUAAUAAUCUACUAGUCAUCUUAACCGUCAACUACAACACUGAACCUUUUGGAUCCGAACGAAUAUUUUAAUGACGUUUGCGCAACAAUCCACUCCGAACGAUCUGUCAUGGGACGUUGUGAUACUUAUAUCAGCUUUACGACAUACAGAUUCAGUGAAAAGCGAACGACGUACUAUCCGGUUGUCCUGACUUAAUUAAAUGGUUUAAGUUCCAACGAAAAUCCGAGGCCGAUAUCCGACGGCGAAGCCACGGGAAAAAAUAUUUCAACCGGAUUAAGUACGUAAGCUUUAGAAAAAGGUUACGGAGG